AGCGGUAGUAGAGUGGUCGGGCCCAUUCGGGCAAUAUAUACUUCUGAGCCUACAGUUAGCGAGUGGAUAAAAGUCACCUAAUUGAAGGGAAUAUAUUUACUGAAUUAAUGUUACCUCUGGAAAAAAUAUUAGACCACAAAAGGCUACAUAAAGUUCAGCUGUGGAACCGAAAGGCGGUUGAGAGUGCAUAAAACGGUUGGGACAUCACAAACCACUUCCUGGUGAUAAAUCACACCACCGACUGGAGAAAGUGUGGGGAAGAAACACAGAAACACAGGACGACCCACCACGUCCUGGGACUUCCUCCACCCAGGAGAGUGGAACAAAAUUCUGGGCCCUGUAAAUAGGCGGUCUCUGAGGGUCCCUCCCCUCUAAAUUCAAGAUUCAACAUUUUUUGAGGGCCCCUCUAUAUAUUUGGGACCUAUAUACUUAGUUCACCUUUUUCACCUGGCCUAACGUCACUUCCUCCACCCACUACAUCCUGGGACGCCCUCCUCCCACCACUUCCUGGGACACCAUCAGGACUCAGCCCCCACCCCUAAAUGACUCUAACUAGGACAGAUAGGGACAAGGCCCUCAGAAAGGGAGGGCCCCUAAAAUCAUUAGGCAUAAAAAAAUAAAAAUGCUAAAACUAACACAUUUGUUCUUCCUAAUUAAGCAGUGUACCUGCUAACAAACAGUACUUACAAGCACCACUUUCACAUUGGCUUAUGUAUACACCAUCAGGGAAGACAAUUUCACAAAUUAUUAUUGAACAAUCACUGGUGGAUACAUAUUAAGAAAAGAUAAUGUCCCUGUUACCCAUUUCUUUAGAUUUUGUUCAGACAUGAGGAAAAUUGAUUGGUGGAGAUAUCAGAAGGUAGAUCAGCAUUCUUUUUUAUUUAAAUUAUUUUGUCUGAAUGGUCUAUUAUUUAAUGUAUUAGGCAGCAAUAUACAGUAUAUAGGAGGUUAAGCCCCUUCAAAGCCUUUCAAUUGUUUUAUUGACUACUGGGAAGAAGUUUUUUAUUGAAACAGCUCUGCAGAUGUAUUUCCAAUACUGUUUCUGGGCAAAUCGUAAGGUACAGACAAUGCCAAACUACUUCCAGAACCCCCAAUGAAUUGUUUUGCCUGAUUGGUGCAGACACAGCACUACUUUCAUUCAGUGUUCCCAACUUUAAAUACCUGAACCCCUAAAAGUUAAUGGUAUAUUACUCU